GACGAACGCUGGCGGCGUGCUUAACACAUGCAAGUCGAACGGAAAGGCCCUGCUCUUGUGGGGCGCUCGAGUGGCGAACGGGGGAGUAACACGUGAGUAUACUGCCCCUGUCUGUGUGAUAACUUUACGAAACUGGGGCUAAUAUCGGAGAGGAGCUACUGCUGCACGGUGGGGGAUGGUAAGUUUCGGCGGUUGGGGAUGGACUCGCGGCUUAUCAGCUUGUUGGUGGGGUAGUGGCUUACCACGGUUUUGACGGGUAGCCGGCCUGGGAGGGUGGACGGCCACAUUGGGCCUGCGGUACGGCCCAGUCUCCUACGGGCGGCAGUAGUGGAGAGUAUUGCGCAGUGGGCGGGCGCCUGUGGCGGCAGCGCCGCGUGCGGAAUGCCGUCCUUCGGGUUGUGAACAGAUUUCGCAUGAGCCGAGGCGUGAGUGACGGUAAUGGGUAAGAAAGCACCGGCUAACUACGUG
rnacentral:rRNA from 1 species